CUGGGUUUGACAUGCACAGGACGCCGGUAGAGAUAUCGGUUCCCUUGUGGCCUGUGUGCAGGUGGUGCAUGGCUGUCGUCAGCUCGUGUCGUGAGAUGUUGGGUUAAGUCCCGCAACGAGCGCAACCCUUGUCUCAUGUUGCCAGCGCGUUAUGGCGGGGACUCGUGAGAGACUGCCGGGGUCAACUCGGAGGAAGGUGGGGAUGACGUCAAGUCAUCAUGCCCCUUAUGUCCAGGGCUUCACACAUGCUACAAUGGCCGGUACAAAGGGCUGCGAUGCCGUGAGGCUUAGCGAAUCCUUUAAAGCCGGUCUCAGUUCGGAUCGGGGUCUGCAACUCGACCCCGUGAAGUCGGAGUCGCUAGUAAUCGCAGAUCAGCAACGCUGCGGUGAAUA
rnacentral:rRNA from 1 species